CCUACGGGAGGCAGCAGUGGGGAAUUUUGGACAAUGGGGGCAACCCUGAUCCAGCCAUUCCGCGUGAGUGAAGAAGGCCUUCGGGUUGUAAAGCUCUUUUGUCCGGAACGAAACGGUACGGGUGAAUAUCCCGUGCUACUGACGGUACCGGAAGAAUAAGCACCGGCUAACUACGUGCCAGCAGCCGCGGUAAUACGUAGGGUGCGAGCGUUAAUCGGAAUUACUGGGCGUAAAGCGUGCGCAGGCGGUUUUGUAAGCCAGACGUGAAAUCCCCGGGCUUAACCUGGGAAUGGCGUUUGGGACUGCAAGGCUUGAGUAUGGCAGAGGGGACUAGAAUUCCUGGUGUAGCAGUGAAAUGCGUAGAUAUCAGGAGGAAUACCGAUGGCGAAGGCAGGUCCCUGGGUUAAUACUGACGCUCAUGCACGAAAGCGUGGGGAGCAAACAGGAUUAGAUACCCUGGUAGUCCACGCCCUAAACUAUGUCAACUGGUUGUUGGGGGUUUGACACUCUCAGUAACGAAGCUAACGCGUGAAGUUGACCGCCUGGGGAGUACGGCCGCAAGGUUAAAACUCAAAGGAAUUGACGG
rnacentral:rRNA from 1 species